AGCGUGUGUAGGCGGAAGCGUAAGCGUUUUGUGAAAUCCCCCGGCUCAAACGGGGCAUUGCUGGACGAACUGCGUUUCUUGAGGCAGGUAAGGGUGCGCGGGAACUCUUGGUGGAGCGGUGGAAUGCGUAGAUAUCAAGAGGAACGCCGGUGGAGAAGUCGGCGCACUGGGCCUGACCUGACGCUGAGACACGAAAGCGUGGGGAGCGAACGGGAUUAGAUACCCCGGUAGUCCACGCCGUAAACGAUGCCUACUAGGUUGUGGCGGUUCUGACGCCGGCACAGCCGAGGCCAAAGUGUUAAGUAGGCCGCCUGGGGAGUACGGUCGCAAGGCUAAAACUCAAAGGAAUUGACGGGGGCUCACACAAGCGGUGGAGCAUGUGGAUUAAUUCGAAGCAACGCGCAGAACCUUACCUGGGUUUGACAUGCUUGGAUGCUUGCCGGGAAACCGGUUAAGUUGCCCUUCGGGGUGAAACUUGCACAGGUGCUGCAUGGCUGUCGUCAGCUCGUGUCGUGAGAUGUCGGGUUAAGUCCCUUAACGAGCGAAACCCUUGCCGUUAGUUGCCAGCGGGUCAUGCCGGGGACUCUAACGGGACUGCCGGUGUUAAACCGGAGGAAGGUGGGGAUGACGUCAAGUCAUCAUGGCCUUUAUGCCCAGGGCCUCACACGUGCUACAAUGGCCGGUACAGAGCGACGCGAGACCGCGAGGUGGAGCCAAUCGCAAAAAGCCGGCCCCAGUUCGGAUUGCAGGCUGGCAAUUCGCCUGCAUGAAGGUGAAUCGCUAGUAAUCGCGUAUCAGCG
rnacentral:rRNA from 1 species